UGUCCAAUGCGGGAAUCGAACCCGGGUCGUAGUUGUCGAAAACCAAACGGUUUAACCAGUUUAACCUAACGAC